rnacentral:tRNA from 1 species
GUACAUUUAGCUCAAUGGUCAGAGCAUUCGUAUCUAUGCGGGAAGGAUGUGGGUUCGAUUCCUACAGUGUACG